rnacentral:lncRNA from 1 species
AGAACGUCCGCCCCACCCAAGAUGCCCUCUGCUGUCACUCGUACCACGUGCCAGGUCGGCCGAGCGCCCAGCAGCGCAGAUGGGUCUGGGAAGAGGCAGCUCCGGGGGGUGGCGGCUGCAUCACGUGGUGCCCUCCUGGGUCCUGUGAUGGCCACUGGGCACCAAGCAGCCCCUCCCCCUGUCUCUGCGGUGGGGCCCGUGGUCUGUGCUCGGGAGCCGGGCCCGCCCCGGGCUGCCCCGCACGCAGGCUGCCCUCCCGGCUGUGGUGUGAGCAGAGCGCUGGGCUGGAGGCAGGAGACAUGAAUCGCAUCCCAGGACACGCAGGCGCCUAGCGGCCUCUUUGAUGCCCACCGAGACAGCGAGUGGCCGGGGCUACGGCAGAUGCCCAGGCGGCAGAGAGGGAGGCGGGUAGCUCCAGCUGCGUAAGGCUGAGGUCCCUGUCCCCGGCCCCGGCUGCCUGAGCUGCACCCAGGGGGCAGGUGUGGGCUGGGGUGGGGUCCGAGGUGAAGGCCAGGGGAGACGCAGCUGUGUUUCCUCCUCGCCAGUCCCUCCCUCCCACUCUGAGUGCGGGCUGGGGGGUCUGACUGUGCCGGUUUCUGAGCAGCAAGAGGGCUCCUUGGUAGCUUGUGCAUGAAGUCCAGGUCGUCUCGGGGGAGAGGAGAGGGCUGACCUCAGAGGGUGGGUACGCAGGGGAGGGGUGGGGAGGUGCUACCCGCUCGCCUGCCAGGCCCCUUAAACCAGCCGUUUGGGGUUGAGCUCAAAGUGGGAACCUUCCUCCGCUCAUGUACCACCUCGCACUAACUGCUAAUAAAGCGGCGUUCUGUUUGUACGCAGUGGUCACUCACGUCUGUCUGUCCGUCUGUCUGUCUGUCUGAGGUCUUUGCAAGGCCGCAGGGGGGGUCGGACAGGGCGGUGUUCGCACAGACGGCCCGUCUGGGGACUGUCAAAAACCAGAGGUCCACCCCGUGGAUCGGAACCAAGCGGGUCAGGGUGGCAGAGGCCUGAGCCGGGACAGCCCAGUGGGGUGCGACCCGUGCACCUGCCCUGGCACAGCCCCCCGCAUCGCGAGACACCCCACUCCACGCAACCCCCGCGUGGCUGCGUGGUUCCCGCGGGUUCUCCUGCAGAGGAGCGUGCAGAGAACAACUUUGGGAAAAACAAGCGACUUCCUGCCCGUCCAGCCUGAUGGAGGGAGAGGCAGACGCAGAGGCAGGGAGCAGCGAGGGGGUCGGAGCUGCUCCGGCAGAGUCCCCAGCAGAACUCUCCAAGCUGCACACGCCCAGGCUCCCCGGCCCCGUCCACUCAGUCGGAACCUCUGCGAGGGCAACCCAGAGCUGCGGCUUCUCAGCAGGCUCGCUGCUGCACCGUGAGUGGGGGGAGCAGUGAAUCAGGCCCUCGAGUGCGAACCAGAGAAGGGCCACGACGUGGCGGCUGCCGUGGGUGCGCCGGGACGCAGCCGGGACACAGCUGCGCACACAAGGGCGGCUCCUGCAGACACCCGUUCCCAAAGGGGCAGGGGUCAUGAGGCCACCACAGAACCCGUGUGGAGGCCGCCUUGAUGGGCGCAGGGGAUCUGGGAGACGCAGACGGGCGUCUCUGCCCAGGGAGCCCUCAGGAAACCUGAGGAGUUUCCACUUGAAAACCUCCCCUCCCCUCGGCCGCCCUGCGGCGCAUGGAGUUAGUUCAGAUCCAAGCUGCAGCUGGGACCUGUGCCACAGCACCGGAUCCCUCAACCCUCUGUGGCAAGGCUGGGCAUCAGACCUGCACCCUGGUACUGCCGACAUGCCCCUCAACCUAUUGCGCCAGAGCGGGAACUCCCCACAGCCCCAGAACCCUGAGAGCCCCAGAAACACUGAAGGCCCAGCCCAGGUGCUCCCCGAGGUCCCAGGCGGCCUGCAGAUCUCAGGGCCCCUGGGCCCUCCCCAUCCCCGUGAGGCAGCCCCUCGGGGGACGUGGCGCCCCAGGAGUGGCCCCACAUCCGGGAAGUGCCCCUUUCCCUGGAAGAGUCCUUGAUGGGGUGCCCCGCAGCGAGGUUCGUAAUAGCAAAGCAAGGUGUCCAGCCACAGGGGUCAGCUCCACAGCCACUCGUGUGGCCGCCUGCUGGAAGGUGGUGACGCGGUCGAGAAUACUGAGCCCAGUGUCUGCGUCCUGCCGCUACGUUUCUCCAAGACGGACUUACAGUGACCAUUUGUAGAAAGAGAACUCGCGCCAUGGUACUUACAACCCCAGCAGUGAAGCACGCGCUCUCCCUCCCUCUCCCGCUCUCUCCCCCCCCCACCUCUCCCUCGCUCCUCUCUCCCUCUCUCUCCCCCACCUCUCUCUCUUCCUCCGUCUCUCUCCCCCCCUCCCCCCCUCCCCCUCCCCCUCCCUCUCUCUCCCCCCUCCCCCUCCCUCUCUCUCCCCCUCCCCCUCCCUCUCUCUCCCCCCUCCCCCUCCCUCUCUCUCCCCCCUCUCCCUCCCUCUCUCUCUCCCCCCCUCUCUCUCCCUCCCUCCCUCCCCCCCUUUCACCAAACUGAGAACUGGCUCCUUCUGAAAGAGGGGGAGGGAAAGGGGAGCAGUGGAUGUCACAGAGGACUUGAGCUUCGGCUGAAAUGUUUGAGUUAAAGCACAGAUGACGUGUCCUCUGUGGAAUGAAAACGGUUUUUAAAAAAAAGUAGCUAGAAAAGGGUGAAGCAGAAAGAGUGGGGUUUGGGGGGGGUCUGGGCAGCUGGACUGCUGUGCCAUGAAGGCGACCCGGCCGCCACCCGUGGGCAGCCAGACCGCAGGGUCCAAGGAUGCCCCUGCCUAGGGGUCUUGCUUUGCGGCAGCGCCCCGAGCUCUGACGGAGCCCGAGCUGAGGAGCCCGACUGGCAGUGUGACGGCGCGCUGCUCGGCUCCCACACGCUCGCAGACACAUGCGCAGUGACCACCAGGGCUGGGACAAACAUGGCACGCCCGAGAAGGACAUAACUGAUGCCCGUGAAAUUCCCGACAAACACGCAACAGGAAUCCAGCCGAGAGGAGCAGCGGCUCGUCCGCGCGCUGGGACAGGUUGCGCGGUAACUGGCCUGAGCUCUAAGCGUCAAGGUCGCAGAAGACAAAGGCUGAGAAGUGGUUCAAGAUGAAGGGAGACCGAAGAGACCCAGCAGUCACACUUCUUUUGGGACCCUGGAGGGAAGCAGUUGCCUAGAAAGAGCACCAUGCUGCUAACUGCAAAUUGUGAAUGGAUUGUGUGGACUGGCUCAUGGCAUUGUAUCGAUGCUAUGUUUCCUGAUUUUCAUUGUUGGACUGUUAUGCAAGAGUAUAUCAUUGCUCUUAAGUGGUAUAUGCUGAAAUACUGGUGCCUAAAAUGGAAGAAAUAAAGCUGAAUUUUGACU